rnacentral:rRNA from 1 species
UACGGGAGGCAGCAGUGGGGAAUAUUGGACAAUGGGGGGAACCCUGAUCCAGCCAUGCCGCGUGUGUGAAGAAGGCCUUUUGGUUGUAAAGCACUUUAAGCGAGGAGGAGGCUACCGAGAUUAAUACUCUUGGAUAGUGGACGUUACUCGCAGAAUAAGCACCGGCUAACUCUGUGCCAGCAGCCGCGGUAAUACAGAGGGUGCAAGCGUUAAUCGGAUUUACUGGGCGUAAAGCGCGCGUAGGUGGCCAAUUAAGUCAAAUGUGAAAUCCCCGAGCUUAACUUGGGAAUUGCAUUCGAUACUGGUUGGCUAGAGUAUGGGAGAGGAUGGUAGAAUUCCAGGUGUAGCGGUGAAAUGCGUAGAGAUCUGGAGGAAUACCGAUGGCGAAGGCAGCCAUCUGGCCUAAUACUGACACUGAGGUGCGAAAGCAUGGGGAGCAAACAGGAUUAGAUACCCUGGUAGUCCAUGCCGUAAACGAUGUCUACUAGCCGUUGGGGCCUUUGAGGCUUUAGUGGCGCAGCUAACGCGAUAAGUAGACCGCCUGGGGAGUACGGUCGCAAGACUAAAACUCAAAUGAAUUGACGGGGGCCCGCACAAGCGGUGGAGCAUGUGGUUUAAUUCGAUGCAACGCGAAGAACCUUACCUGGUCUUGACAUAGUAAGAACUUUCCAGAGAUGGAUUGGUGCCUUCGGGAACUUACAUACAGGUGCUGCAUGGCUG